CUACGAAGGGUGCAAGCGUUACUCGGAAUUACUGGGCGUAAAGCGUGCGUAGGUGGUUUGUUAAGUCUGAUGUGAAAGCCCUGGGCUCAACCUGGGAAUUGCAUUGGAUACUGGCAGGCUAGAGUGCGGUAGAGGAUGGCGGAAUUCCCGGUGUAGCAGUGAAAUGCGUAGAGAUCGGGAGGAACAUCUGUGGCGAACGCGGCCAUCUGGACCAGCACUGACACUGAGGCACGAAAGCGUGGGGAGCAAACAGGAUUAGAUACCCUGGUAGUCCACGCCCUAAACGAUGCGAACUGGAUGUUGGGUUCAACUAGGAACUCAGUAUCGAAGCUAACGCGUUAAGUUCGCCGCCUGGGGAGUACGGUCGCAAGACUGAAACUCAAAUGAAUUGACGGGG
rnacentral:rRNA from 1 species